rnacentral:rRNA from 1 species
UACGGGGGGGGCAAGCGUUGUUCGGAAUUACUGGGCGUAAAGGGCUCGUAGGCGGCCAACUAAGUCAGACGUGAAAUCCCUCGGCUUAACCGGGGAACUGCGUCUGAUACUGGAUGGCUUGAGAUUGGGAGAGGGAUGCGGAAUUCCAGGUGUAGCGGUGAAAUGCGUAGAUAUCUGGAGGAACACCAAUGGCGAAGGCAGCUCUCUGGGACGGUACUGACGCUGAGACGCGAAAGCGUGGGGAGCGAACAGG